GGGCGGACGAGCUCGACGAGCAGUAACGCUUCUGUCAUCAUUCACCUCGUGCAUGCGUUGUGGACAGCCACGCACCCUGUCUGCAUGCAGGCACGGCACUUUUUGAAACCGCGUGGAUGGAUGCACGGCUGUGCGUGAACCCUCUUGACGACGAAAAUUACAUAAUGUGGACGGUGCGCGGAUGCGGAUGGUCAAAUUAUACUUUGGCCUUUAUCAGUGGCGCACGAUAUGAGAAGGAGGUCUCUGCGGAACUAAAAGAGGCUUUUCCCAAUUUUUGGGCAUCUUCAAACUGAAAUAGGUGUUUUUCUAUCUCUUUCUCUGAUUUGCUCAAAUUGAGUAGGCGAUUCCGAAAUGCAUUUUUCCCAUCAACCCAAGUAUAGCAAGUGAUGCGGAAAUUAAGCACAAGCGCCGUCUGCUACUGAGAGAUCGCCUACAGUACAUAUGAAUGAAUAUCCACAUAUUGCAAGAAAUGCAGUAAUUGUAGUAUGUUUUACCGAUACCAGGACUGGAUGCAUGGGCUUCACAAUUCUGAUGAUCAACUGCUGCUAACCGUCUUUCUGUGCAUUUUUAUAAGGAAUUCUGUGCAGGCUCAUGUGUCAGUUGGAACAGUGCGUUCCAUUUUGCAAAGGACGUUUUUUCAUGCAUAUUUAUAUUUUGAGGCACUGACCCACCAUGAUUAUAACUUUUCAUGUCUAAAAUGUGGUCAUCAUCCUCCAGUUGUUGUGAUGGAUUUACACAGAAAGGGAGUGUUCAGCAUGCCAGUCGGUGACAUAAGUGAACCACAUGAAACCUACAAUGGUGAGGUGAAUUCAGAAGACUUCUGGGAGACUCUUUCAAUGGAGAGGAUCGCCGCUGGCUUGUUGAAAAGUUGCUGACUUUAGAAAACUUUGCCAGGCCUGUGGAGUUGCUACUCAAGAUCAAAGACUGAUCUUCUAUCCAGACUGAGACGACAGAUGCAAACCAGAACUGCAUAUGACAAAAUAUUUCAGGAAGUUUGGGGAGAAUCAGGUGGAUGACCAGUCAUUUUAUGUCCUUGUGGUGUGGUUUACAGUGUGAAAUGUCUCAUCCGUGCUGAAAGUCUUAGAGACUUUUCUGACAUGUUGUUCUUUUGGAAACACAUGUCAAACAUCUGUAUUUAUGAUUUUGUCAGAGGACUGGUCACCCAUGCCAAUGUUCAGAGACCAGAAGCAAUGCCAUUUGCACCAUUUGACGGGCGGCUUGCAGAAGAUACAGAAGACGAUCUGAGGGCUGCACUGAGUGGAACCCUUACUGUUAGCCUACCUUGACUGAAUGAAAAGAAGUUGGAUGAAGAUGUCAGUUGCCAUCCAGUGACUGGAUCCUCAGAUCACUAUGCCCUAUAUGACAAAUACCACGAGUCUAAUUCUGAGGAUGUGCGAGACUCACUCAGAAAGAUCCAGCUUGUUCCAGAGUUGGCUGGUAGUGUUAACACACAAGCCGCAGAACAGCUUUUUUUCUGGAAUGAGGAAGAAUAACUACUUCCUGAAUAUGAUGUCUCCCACCACUCACAUGUUUUUUGUCAGAAAUAUUUUGCACAUUCAGAAUGAGGAGAAAAACAAAGCAAUGCUGAAAAAAAUCCAAAAGUGCCACUCAAAAACUACUGUGAAUCUCCAAAAAGAUUCGCUUGGACGUCUGG